rnacentral:misc_RNA from 1 species
GAUGAAGAACGCAGUGAAAUGCGAUACGUAAUGUGAAUUGCAGAAUUCAGUGAAUCAUCGAGUCUUUGAACGCACAUUGCGCCCCCUGGUAUUCCGGGGGGCAUGCCUGUCCGAGCGUCAUUGCUGCCCUCAAGCACGGCUUGUGUGUUGGGCCUCCGUCCUCCUCCCGGGGGACGAGCCCGAAAGGCAGCGGCGGCACCGCGUCCGGUCCUCGAGCGUAUGGGGCUUCGUCACCCGCUCUUGUAGGCCCGGCCGGCGCUUGCCGACACAUCAAUCUUUUUUCCAGGUUGACCUCGGAUCAGGUAGGGAUACCCGCUGAACUUAAGCAUAUCAAUAAGCGGAGGA